GACGAACGCUGGCGGCGCGCUUAACACAUGCAAGUCGAACGGUGAACCGGGCUUCGGCCCGGGGAUCAGUGGCGAACGGGUGCGUAACACGUGGGCAACCUGCCCCUCACUCUGGGAUAACCCCGGGAAACCGGAGCUAAUACCGGAUACUCCGACCGGUCCGCAUGGUCCGAUCGGGAAAGGUCCGCCGGUGAGGGAUGGGCCCGCGGCCUAUCAGCUUGUUGGUGAGGUAACGGCUCACCAAGGCGACGACGGGUAGCUGGUCUGAGAGGACGACCAGCCACACUGGGACUGAGAUACGGCCCAGACUCCUACGGGAGGCAGCAGUGGGGAAUCUUGCGCAAUGGGCGAAAGCCUGACGCAGCGACGCCGCGUGGGGGACGAAGGCCCUCGGGUUGUAAACCCCUUUCGGCAGGGACGAAGCGAUCGUGACGGUACCUGCAGAAGAAGCCUCGGCUAACUACGUGCCAGCAGCCGCAGUAA
rnacentral:rRNA from 1 species